rnacentral:rRNA from 1 species
GAGACAGCAGUAGCCCGGGAAUACGUAGGUGGCAAGCGUUGUCCGGAAUUAUUGGGCGUAAAGGGCUCGCAGGCGGUUUCUUAAGUCUGAUGUGAAAGCCCCCGGCUCAACCGGGGAGGGUCAUUGGAAACUGGGAAACUUGAGUGCAGAAGAGGAGAGUGGAAUUCCACGUGUAGCGGUGAAAUGCGUAGAGAUGUGGAGGAACACCAGUGGCGAAGGCGACUCUCUGGUCUGUAACUGACGCUGAGGAGCAAAAGCGUGGGGAGCGAACAGGAUUAGAUACCCGCGUAGUCCCUGUCUCUUAUACA